CCGAGACUCCAAUGCUUGCCCCAGGAGGGCCUCCCCAGUUCCAUUUCUUGGCUUCAAAUUGGCGGACACUGUCCGGCGCUUAAACAAAGAUGCCAGAAACCGGAAGGGGAAGAUUGGGAAAAGAUUGCUCACAUCCGUGAAGUUUAUAUUUAUUAGCCAAUCCUCAGGGGCAAUAACAAAUGAGAUUACUGUUACUGGAGUUCCCAACCUAAAGCAUUGUCAAUGGAAUCACUGAAGAUGCUUUUUUGUUCUGUGGCUUGCCGUGAAGAUCUCUUCAGGGGAGAGACUUAAAUGAGCAGAGC